CGAUGAUGAUGAUGAUAAUGUGAUGAUGCUAAUGAUGAUGAUUGUUAAUGACGACGACGAUCAUAAUCAUCAUUAUCAUCAUCAUCAUUAUCGUUUUUA
rnacentral:pre_miRNA from 1 species